rnacentral:tRNA from 1 species
GGGAAUUAGCUCAGCUGGGAGAGCGCUUGGCUGGCAGCCAAGAGGUCAGGGGUUCAAAUCCCCUAUUCUCC